rnacentral:rRNA from 1 species
GCAGCCGCGGUAAUACGUAGGGGGCAAGCGUUAUCCGGAAUCAUUGGGCGUAAAGAGUACGUAGGUGGUUACCUAAGCAAGGGGUUUAAGGCAAUGGCUCAACCAUUGUUCGCCCCUUGAACUGGGCUACUUGAGUGCAGGAGAGGAAAGCGGAAUUCCUAGUGUAGCGGUGAAAUGCGUAGAUAUUAGGAGGAACACCAGUGGCGAAGGCGGCUUUCUGGACUGUAACUGACACUGAGGUACGAAAGCGUGGGGAGCAAACAGGAUUAGAUACCCC